UUAGAUCACUUGAAAUAAUUCUCUGUAAUUCAUCUCUCUUAUCGUUGACAUCGAAGAGGUCGCUGGUUCGAACCCAGUACCGACCACCA
rnacentral:tRNA from 1 species